AUUGAACGCUGGCGGCAUGCCUUACACAUGCAAGUCGAACGUGAAAGGGGGCAACCCCGAGUAGAGUGGCGAACGGGUGAGUAAUGCAUCGGAACGUGCCCAGUAGUGGGGGACAACCUCGAGAAAUCGAGGCUAAUACCGCAUACGACCUACGGGUGAAAGCGGGGGACCGCGUGGCCUCGCGCUAUUGGAGCGGCCGAUGUCCGAUUAGCUUGUUGGUAGGGUAACGGCCUACCAAGGCGACGAUCGGUAGCUGGUCUGAGAGGACGACCAGCCACACUGGGACUGAGGCACGGCCCAGACUCCGACGGGAGGCAGCAGUGGGGAAUUUUGGACAAUGGGGGCAACCCUGAUCCAGCCAUGCCGCGUGCGGGAAGAAGGCCUUCGGGUUGUAAACCGCUUUCGGCCGGAACGAAAUCGCCGGGGAUAACACCCCCGGUGGAUGACGGUACCGGAAGAAGAAGCACCGGCUAACUACGUGCCAGCCGCCGCCGUAAAAC
rnacentral:rRNA from 1 species